AGGUAGCUGCAUGGCUGUCGUCAAGCUCGUGUCGUGAGAUGUUGGGUUAAGUCCCGCAACGAGCGCAACCCUUGCCAUUAGUUGCUACGAAAGGGCACUCUAAUGGGACUGCCGGUGACAAACCGGAGGAAGGUGGGGAUGACGUCAAGUCCUCAUGGCCCUUAUAGGUGGGGCUACACACGUCAUACAAUGGCCGGUACAGAGGGUAGCCAACCCGCGAGGGGGAGCCAAUCCCACAAAGCCGGUCGUAGUCCGGAUCGCAGUCUGCAACUCGACUGCGUGAAGUCGGAAUCGCUAGUAAUCGUGGAUCAGCAUGUCACGGUGAAUACGUUCCCGGGUCUU
rnacentral:rRNA from 1 species